AACGCAACUUGCGCUCUCUCCGGAGAGCAUGCCUGUUUGAGUGUCGUUUUUUGACUCGACCUUUUGGGGGAGAUUCUUCACGAAUCUCUCGAAAAGAGUCGGAAUCGGAGCUGUCCUGCCUGUCUUGUGCAAGUUAUAUUACACAGUGGCGCGCGCUCUAAAGCUGAUUGAUUUCCAUUGGGCACGAGGUUUGCUUUUUCUGCGCAUCUCAGCCAAACGUGCGAUAAGUCUAACGACGUCACACUAGUAGGCCGAGUCGGAGAGAAGAGCGUCUUGACGCCGUAUUCAUUUAUGAAGGUGGAAGCAUCGUAAGAGGCAGGGCCAACAUCUUGCCUCGAAUCGGAAAAGAGGGCGGAUCCGUCCAACCUCUCUUCUCUCUCAAUCUCGACCUCAAAUCAGACAAGGUUACCGGCUGAACUUAA
rnacentral:misc_RNA from 1 species